CAACUGCUGACUGAUUUUCUGGGCUUCUUGGCUGAUGGUGGUGACUCUGAAGAAAGAAGCUGGGUUUAUCUCUGGGUCUUGGGAUAAUCAAGUUGGAAGUGGCCUGGCUGAUUUGAAGGUAGAAGGUAGAAGGUUGAAGACAGGAAACUGCCUUAUACUUCUCUUAUGUCCACCAAAUCACCUAACCCUGUGCUGGAUAUGUGCAUAGUAAUCAGCAAACUAAUUCCUCUCUAUUGUCUCCCAAUGAAGAAACUCCUACUAGCCAUUUAGAUUUCUCCUUGCUUUGUGAUGUCUAACCACAGGAUCUUACCUAGAGGACUGGGAAGUUAAAUGGUUGCUCAGAGUCACAUAGAAUGGACACAUCAAAGUGAGAAUUUGUACUUAAAUCAUUUUCACUCCCAUGUCAGGUUUUAAUCUGUUGUACUAUGCCAUCUUUAUAAACAAAGUAAACAUACAAAACACCAAAUGGAAAUUAUAGUCUAUAACUGGAUGAUGUAUUGGAAAGUGUUGCACUGACUUAGGUUUCAAUAUUUCCUCAGACACUCAUUAACUAAGUGAUCAUGGUCAAGUCAUUUAACUACUCUGGGCUUCAACUUCUAAAAUAAAAACUCUAGUAGCUAACUUGUGUAGUUUAUA
rnacentral:lncRNA from 1 species